AAGGGCACCACAAGAACGCGUGAAGCAUGUGGCUUAAUUUGACUCAACGCGGGAAAUCUUACCGGGUCCGGACACACUGAGGAUUGACAGGCAAUAUUAAUAUGUGUUUCGGCACGUAUUAUGUUAAAUAUGCUAGUCCUUUCAUGAUUAUGUGAUAGGUGGUGCAUGGCCGUUCUUAGUUCGUGGAGUGAUCUGUCAGCUUAAUUGCAUUUCACUAAAGGCUUAAAAAUUUACGUGUGUUGCGGCACUUUGACCCCUAUCUUUUAAAUAAAAAAGCGCGUGUCUUAGUUUGCAUAACUCACACAAUUAGAUCCUGAAAGCAACGAACGUGAACACAACCUCUUGUUGCCUUUAUACCAAACAUGUUUGAAUAUUCUUUUAUUGAAUAAUCAUUCGUGAAAAAAGGCUUUUAAACUAGAGGGACCGCUGUUACUUUCUUAAACCAGAGGAAGGUUGCGGCAAUAACAGGUCUGUGAUGCCCUUAGAUGUUCCGGGCUGCACACGUGCUACAAUGAUUAUUGCAGUGAGCAUCUCAUUUUUACACACCGCAUGCGCGAGUCCAUUUAUUCAUUUCCUUCGGGUAUGUUUUAAAUGUGUUUCUCUGCGCGCGGUAAAGCCUGCUUCGAAAGUAAGUGGGUAAUCAAUUAGAAGUAAUGAUUUCCUUUUUUUUCAGCACACAUAUAUACGGCGUUUAUACCCGGGUUACCUUGUUGUAGCUUUUGUGUGUAUAGAUGUUUUUUCCGUAUGUGCAAUUGUCAAUUCAUGGUGGGGACAGACCAUUGUUAAUUGUUGGUCUCGGUCUUAACUAGGAAUGCCUUGUACGGGUCUUUGGUUCAACAAACCACCCGGAAUACGUCCCUGCCCUUUGUACACACCGCCCGUCGCUCUUACCGAUGGACUUCUCUGUGAGUUUGAGGGACUGGGAACGCAGCAAUUUCGAUUCUGCACACCUAUGGAACCUUAAACGAACAGUGUGGUCUAAAGGAAAGAGAAGUCGUAACAAGGCAUCGGUAGGUGAACCUGCAGAAGGAUCA
rnacentral:rRNA from 1 species